AAGGAAAUGACAGAGUGGUAUGUACCUGGCUUGAAACCAGAGAAUGGGGGUUCGAUUCCCUCUUUCCUCG
rnacentral:tRNA from 1 species